UCACUGGUAAGACUGCCAGCUGCUUUAUUCCAUUCAUAUCCAGCUUGUGCUUUAAUUCCGAGUUAGAAUUGGGGAAACUGUUGUUAUGGCACAAAGCUUCUUUUGAAUUUUGAAGCUAACCUCUGAGAUAAUCUAUCUUAAUUGUCAUAUGCACCUUCACUGGAAUGAGUACACUCUAAAUUCUUUAACGUAGAUCCAUUGGAGGGCAAGUCUGAUGCCAGCAGCCGCGGUAAUUCCAGCUCUAAUAGCGUAUGUUAAAGUUGCUGCCGUUAAAAAGCUCGUAGUUGGAACUCAGUUCCAGACGGGUGGUCCGCCUAGCGGUCGUUGCUGCCUGUUCUAAACAGCCAGCCGGUUUCCUUCGAUGACCUUCACCGGUUGUCUAGGGUGACCGACAGGUUUACUUUGGAAAAAUUAGAGUGCUCAAAGCAGGCAUGGUGCCUAAAUAAUGGUGCAUGGAACAAUGGAAUGGGACCUCGGUUCUAUUUUGUUGGAUUUCGGAUUACGAGGUAAUGAUUAAGAGGGACAGACGGGGCAUUCGUAUUGCGACGUUAGAGAUGAAAUUCUUGGACCCUCGCAAGACGAAUUACUGCUGAAGCAUUUGCCAAGAAUAUCUUAAUUAAUCAAGAACAAAAGUUAUCAUCAUUAAAAGAAGACGAUCAGAUUUAAUGAGAUAAUUA
rnacentral:ncRNA from 1 species